UGGGGAAUAUUGCACAAUGGGGGAAACCCUGAUGCAGCGACGCCGCGUGAGCGAAGAAGGUUUUCGAAUCGUAAAGCUCUGUCCUAUGAGAAGAUAAUGACGGUAUCAUAGGAGGAAGCCCCGGCUAAAUACGUGCCAGCAGCCGCGGUAAUACGUAUGGGGCGAGCGUUGUCCGGAAUUAUUGGGCGUAAAGGGUACGUAGGCGGUCUAUUAAGUCAGGUGUGAAAGCGUGAGGCUUAACCUCAUUAAGCACUUGAAACUGAUAGACUUGAGUGAAGGAGAGGAAAGUGGAAUUCCUAGUGUAGCGAUGAAAUGCGUAGUUAUUAGGAGGAAUACCGGUGGCGAAGGCGACUUUCUGGACUUUUACUGACGCUCAGGUACGAAAGCGUGGGGAGCAAACAGG
rnacentral:rRNA from 1 species